GAUUAAGUUAUUAAGGGCGCACGGUGGAUGCCUUGGCACUAGAAGCCGAUGAAGGACGUUACUAACGACGAUAUGCUUUGGGGAGCUGUAAGUAAGCUUUGAUCCAGAGAUUUCCGAAUGGGGAAACCCAGCAUGAGUUAUGUCAUGUUAUCGAUAUGUGAAUACAUAGCAUAUUAGAAGGCACACCCGGAGAACUGAAACAUCUUAGUACCCGGAGGAAGAGAAAGAAAAUUCGAUUCCCUUAGUAGCGGCGAGCGAAACGGGAAGAGCCCAAACCAACAAGCUUGCUUGUUGGGGUUGUAGGACACUCUAUACGGAGUUACAAAGGACGACAUUAGACGAAUCAUCUGGAAAGAUGAAUCAAAGAAGGUAAUAAUCCUGUAGUCGAAAAUGUUGUCUCUCUUGAGUGGAUCCUGAGUACGACGGAGCACGUGAAAUUCCGUCGGAAUCUGGGAGGACCAUCUCCUAAGGCUAAAUACUCUCUAGUGACCGAUAGUGAACCAGUACCGUGAGGGAAAGGUGAAAAGCACCCCGGAAGGGGAGUGAAAUAGAACCUGAAACCGUGUGCUUACAAGUAGUCAGAGCCCGUUAAUGGGUGAUGGCGUGCCUUUUGUAGAAUGAACCGGCGAGUUACGAUUUGAUGCAAGGUUAAGCAGUAAAUGUGGAGCCGUAGCGAAAGCGAGUCUGAAUAGGGCGUUUAGUAUUUGGUCGUAGACCCGAAACCAGGUGAUCUACCCUUGGUCAGGUUGAAGUUCAGGUAACACUGAAUGGAGGACCGAACCGACUUACGUUGAAAAGUGAGCGGAUGAACUGAGGGUAGCGGAGAAAUUCCAAUCGAACCUGGAGAUAGCUGGUUCUCUCCGAAAUAGCUUUAGGGCUAGCCUCAAGUGAUGAUUAUUGGAGGUAGAGCACUGUUUGGACGAGGGACCCCUCUCGGGUUACCGAAUUCAGACAAACUCCGAAUGCCAAUUAAUUUAACUUGGGAGUCAGAACAUGGGUGAUAAGGUCCGUGUUCGAAAGGGAAACAGCCCAGACCACCAGCUAAGGUCCCAAAAUAUAUGUUAAGUGGAAAAGGAUGUGGCGUUGCCCAGACAACUAGGAUGUUGGCUUAGAAGCAGCCAUCAUUUAAAGAGUGCGUAAUAGCUCACUAGUCGAGUGACACUGCGCCGAAAAUGUACCGGGGCUAAACAUAUUACCGAAGCUGUGGAUUGUCCUUUGGACAAUGGUAGGAGAGCGUUCUAAGGGCGUUGAAGCAUGAUCGUAAGGACAUGUGGAGCGCUUAGAAGUGAGAAUGCCGGUGUGAGUAGCGAAAGACGGGUGAGAAUCCCGUCCACCGAUUGACUAAGGUUUCCAGAGGAAGGCUCGUCCGCUCUGGGUUAGUCGGGUCCUAAGCUGAGGCCGACAGGCGUAGGCGAUGGAUAACAGGUUGAUAUUCCUGUACCACCUAUAAUCGUUUUAAUCGAUGGGGGGACGCAGUAGGAUAGGCGAAGCGUGCGAUUGGAUUGCACGUCUAAGCAGUAAGGCUGAGUAUUAGGCAAAUCCGGUACUCGUUAAGGCUGAGCUGUGAUGGGGAGAAGACAUUGUGUCUUCGAGUCGUUGAUUUCACACUGCCGAGAAAAGCCUCUAGAUAGAAAAUAGGUGCCCGUACCGCAAACCGACACAGGUAGUCAAGAUGAGAAUUCUAAGGUGAGCGAGCGAACUCUCGUUAAGGAACUCGGCAAAAUGACCCCGUAACUUCGGGAGAAGGGGUGCUCUUUAGGGUUAACGCCCAGAAGAGCCGCAGUGAAUAGGCCCAAGCGACUGUUUAUCAAAAACACAGGUCUCUGCUAAACCGUAAGGUGAUGUAUAGGGGCUGACGCCUGCCCGGUGCUGGAAGGUUAAGAGGAGUGGUUAGCUUCUGCGAAGCUACGAAUCGAAGCCCCAGUAAACGGCGGCCGUAACUAUAACGGUCCUAAGGUAGCGAAAUUCCUUGUCGGGUAAGUUCCGACCCGCACGAAAGGCGUAACGAUUUGGGCACUGUCUCAACGAGAGACUCGGUGAAAUCAUAGUACCUGUGAAGAUGCAGGUUACCCGCGACAGGACGGAAAGACCCCGUGGAGCUUUACUGUAGCCUGAUAUUGAAAUUCGGCACAGCUUGUACAGGAUAGGUAGGAGCCUUUGAAACGUGAGCGCUAGCUUACGUGGAGGCGCUGGUGGGAUACUACCCUAGCUGUGUUGGCUUUCUAACCCGCACCACUUAUCGUGGUGGGAGACAGUGUCAGGCGGGCAGUUUGACUGGGGCGGUCGCCUCCUAAAAGGUAACGGAGGCGCUCAAAGGUUCCCUCAGAAUGGUUGGAAAUCAUUCAUAGAGUGUAAAGGCAUAAGGGAGCUUGACUGCGAGACCUACAAGUCGAGCAGGGUCGAAAGACGGACUUAGUGAUCCGGUGGUUCCGCAUGGAAGGGCCAUCGCUCAACGGAUAAAAGCUACCCCGGGGAUAACAGGCUUAUCUCCCCCAAGAGUUCACAUCGACGGGGAGGUUUGGCACCUCGAUGUCGGCUCAUCGCAUCCUGGGGCUGUAGUCGGUCCCAAGGGUUGGGCUGUUCGCCCAUUAAAGCGGUACGCGAGCUGGGUUCAGAACGUCGUGAGACAGUUCGGUCCCUAUCCGUCGUGGGCGUAGGAAAUUUGAGAGGAGCUGUCCUUAGUACGAGAGGACCGGGAUGGACAUACCUCUGGUGUACCAGUUGUCGUGCCAACGGCAUAGCUGGGUAGCUAUGUGUGGACGGGAUAAGUGCUGAAAGCAUCUAAGCAUGAAGCCCCCCUCAAGAUGAGAUUUCCCAACUUCGGUUAUAAGAUCCCUCAAAGAUGAUGAGGUUAAUAGGUUCGAGGUGGAAGCAUGGUGACAUGUGGAGCUGACGAAUACUAAUCGAUCGAAGACUUAAUCAA
rnacentral:rRNA from 1 species